ensembl:lncRNA novel transcript
AGCAGACAGUUACAGCUCCCACUAGGACACUGCCUUCUCAGCGGCUUCAGUUAUCAGAUAUUCCUGGACAUACUUUCCAAGCCAUGAAAAAUAACCAGAGCCACAGCUUUCCCAGCACUCUGACAAACAUCCAUGAGCCCCCAAAGACCGGGAAGUAAUGAUGAUGCAGCUGCGGCACCAUAGAAGAAACAAGUGAUUUCAGUCAAAGGGCCUGGACUCACGAGCUAGCAACUUUGGACAGAUUCUUGAACUCUCAGCCUCAGUUUCUGCUUCUGUAAAGGGAGAUAACUACAGUGACCUUCAGGUUAUCUUGAAGAUGCCAAUGAGCUAGUGAAAAUGCAAUUUAAUCUGUACAGAACUAAACAAAUGUAAGUCAGUGCUAAUAUUCUGUUCCUAGUGGGGACAUGCCAAGUCUCUUUACUGCAACCAGUGGUUCACAUAUGGAAAUAUUGUGCUAAUUUCCAACUCCUACUUAUAUAUAUGAUUUGUUAACUCUGGAGGAUGCAGCCAUCAGCAUAAGCAACCAACAGAAGAACACGCUGGAUCCUCUCCUUUUCCUGACAGUGUG